ensembl:snRNA U6 U6 spliceosomal RNA
GGGGGCUGACUUUGGCCACACAUAUAAUAAAAUUGGAAAGACACAGAUAAGAUUAACAUGGCCCCUGCACAAAGAUGACAUACAGUGUUGUGAAGCCUUACAUAAUAAA